UCAAGCCUAGAAAUAACAAAUGCAUGGACUAGUGUUUCUGCAUCACUCUGAGACAGGAUGUUCCUGAUUUUCACAAUAUUUCUCAGGUGGUAAAAGGAAGUCCUACAGAUUUGUUUUAUGUGUGAGUUAAAGGACAUGUCCUGGUUAAAGAUAACGCAGAGGUUCCUCACAGUAGUACUGGAGGCCAAUGUAAUGCCAUCCAGAGUAACUAUAUGCUUUGAAAGCAAUUUUCUAAGAUGUUUGGGGCCAAAUACAAUGACUUCAGUCUUGUCUGAAUUUAGUAGUAAUAAAUUAUAGGUCAUCCAGGUCCUUAUGUCCUUAAGACAAUCUUGCAGUCUGGCUAGCUGAUUAGUUUCAUUUGGCUUCAUAGAUAAAUACAAUUGAGUGUCAUCAGCGUAACAAUGGAAAUUAAUACAGUGCUUCCUAAUAAUAUUGCCUAAGGGAAGCAUGUAUAAUGUGAACAGUAUUGGUCCUAAGACAGAACCCUGAGGAACUCCAUGAUUAACCCUAGUAUGCUCAGAAGAGUCAUUGUUGACAUGCACAAAUUGGAACCUGUCUGAUAAGUAGGAUUUAAACCAGUCCAGUGCUGUCCCUUUAAUGCCAAUACAAUGUUCUAGUCGCUGUAAUAAAAGUUUGUGGUCGAUUGUAUCGAAUGCCGCACUAAGGUCCAACAAAAUAAGUAUAGAGACCAGUCCAUUAUCUGAUGCUAUGAGCAGGUCAUUAGUAACUUUCACCAGAGCUGUUUCUGUGCUAUGAUGCACUCUGAAGCCUGACUGAAACUCUUCAAACAAGCUAUUCCUUUGUAAAUGUUCACAUAAUUGAUUUGCAACUGUUCUUUCCAGAAUUUUGGAGAGAAAUGGGAGGUUGGAAAUUGGUCUAUAGUUGGCUAAAACAUCUGGAUCAAGAGUGGGCUUUUUCAGUAAAGGUUUGAUUACAGCAGCCUUAAAAGCCUGUGGUACAUAGCCUGUUACUAGAGAGAGAUUAAUCAGAUCUAACAUUGAGGAAUUAAUUAAAGGUAAAGCCUCCUUGAACAGUCUAGUUGGGAUAGGAUCUAAAAGACAUGUCAAUGGUUUGGAUGUAGAAACUAUUGAAAUUAGUUCAGAGAGAUGCAUGGGAGUGAAAAAUUCUAAAUAUUCAUCAGGUCUUACAGCCAAUUCUAAAGCAUCUGUACUCGAUGAUACAUCUGUGACAUUUGUAGGAAGGACCAGAUUAAUUUUUUCUCUAAUCAUAAUAAUUUUAUUUGUAAAGAAGCUCAUGAAGUCGUUACUGCUCAAAGUUAAAGGAAUACAAGGUUCAACAGAGCUCUGACUCUUUGUCAGCCUGGCUACAGUGCUAAAGAGAAACCUGGGGUUGUUCUUGUUUUCCUCUAUUAAAGAUGAAUAAUAUGUUGUCCUGGCAUUACGAAGAGCUUUUUUAUAAAUUACUAGACUAUUUUUCCAAGCUACAUAAACUUCUUCUAAAUUAGUGGAAUACCACUUCCUUUCCAGCUUUCGGGACCCCUGCUUUAAAGUCCGCAGCUGGGAAUUAUACCAAGGAGCAGGUCCUCUCUGAGAUAGAACUUUCUUUUUUACAGGUGCAACACUAUCAAGUGUUGUACGCAGUGAGGCUGCAGCAUUAUUAACAACAUAAUCCACUUCUGUGGGGGUAAUAUAAUAAUAUUCCCUUCCAUUUUAUCAGUAAGUGGUGCUGAACUAAAUAGAGAGGGUAUUAUUUCCUUAAAUUUAGUCACCGAAUUGUCAGACAGACAUCUACUGUAAUGAUAUUUAUUCUUAACUCCUAUACAAUCUAUUGUUGUAAAUUGAAAUGUUAUCAUAAAAUGGUCAGAAAGAAGAAGGUUCCGGGGAAAUACUGUUAACUGUUUGAUUUCUAUGUCAUAAGUCAGAACGAGGUCAAGGGUGUGAUUAAACCUAUGAGUUGGUUUAUUUACAUGUUGAAAAAACCCAAUUGAGUAUAAUAUUGAAUUAAAAGCAGUCGUAAGGCUGUCACUGUCCACGUCAACAUGAAUGUUAAAGUCACCCACAAUAAUCACUUUAUCUGAGCUGAGCACUAAUUCAGAUAAAAAGUCUGAGAAUUGAGAUAAAAACUCAGAGUAAGGAGCAGGAGGACGAUAUACAACAACAAAUAAAACUGGUUUCUGAACUUUUAAAUCUGGAUGAGAGAGACUGAGAGUAAGACUUUCAAAUGAACUGUAACUAGGUUUAGGUCUCUGGUUCAUUUUUAAGCUAGAGAGGUAAAUUGCUGCCACUCCUCCUCCUCGGCCUGUUAUUCGAGGAACAUGACAGUUAGUAUGACUAGUAGGAGUUGAUUCAUUUAGACUAACAUAUUCUUCCUGCUGCAACCAGGUUUCAGUCAAACAGAACAAAUCAAUCUGGUGAUCAGUUAUCAAAUCAUUUACUAACAGAGAUUUAGACGAGAGAGAUCUAAUAUUUAACAGACCACAUUUAAUUGUCCUCUUUCUUCGCUCAGUUGAAAUAGUGGUAUUAAUUUUUAUUAGAUUUUUAUGGUUAUUAUGUCUUUUGUUUAUUUUUGAAUUGUUUAAUUUAUUGAAUUUUGGUGGUCGGGGGACAGACACAGUCUCAAUAAAGUUAACUGAAAUACUGGAGGGUGACAGCUGAGAGGAAACUGCAGAGAGGUGUGGAAGACUACAACUCUGCAUCCUGGUCUGAACUCUGGGUUGUCAUGCUUUAGGAGUUCUAAUAAAAUCAGCCAUAUUUCUAGAAAUGAGAGCUGCACCAGCCAAAGUGGGAUGGAUGCCGUCUCUCCUAAUCAGACCAGGUUUUCCCCAGAAAGAGCUCCAAUUGUCUAUAAAGCCAACGUCGUUUGCAGUACACCACGUAGACACCCAGCGGCGAAACGACGACAUACGGCUAAACAUAUCGUCGCUGGUCAGAUCAGGCAGGGGUCCAGAGAAAACUAUCCGGCAUGGUUUUGGCAAAGUUACACACCGAUGCCACACUAAUUUUGGUGACCUCCGAUUGGCGUAACCAGGUGUCAUUACCGCCGACAUGAAUAACAAUCUUACUGUAUUUCCGAUUAUCUUUAGCCAGCAGUUUCAAAUUUGCUUCUAUGUCGCCCGCUCUGGCCCCUGGGAGGCAUUUUACUAUGGUCGCUGGUGUCGCUAGCUUCACGUUUCUGACUAUGGAGCUGCCAAUGAUUAGAGUUGGUUUCUCAGCGGGUGUGUCGUUGAGUGGGGAAAAAUGAUUAGAAAUGUGAAGCGGUUUGUGGUGUGCCGGGACAGCGGGCUUGAGUUUAGGACUACGUUUCCUACGAACUGUCACCCAGCUACCCUGACUUCUCGGCUGCUCGGGAGCUGCUAGGGGCAAGCUAGCAGAAGCUACACUAGCAGCUAUGCUAUUGCGGUCCGCACCGGCUAAGGGGGCCUGGCUAACAGCUAGCGGGGUGUUUUCCAUGGUGCGGAGCCGCGCUUCCAAUUCAGAGAGCCUGGCCUCCAAAGCUACAAAGAGACUGCAUUUAUUAAAGGUAUCAUUAUCACUAAAGGAGGCAGAGGAGUAACUAACCAUGUGGCACACUGAGCACGAAAGAGAAGGAGAGGAAGAGGGAGAAGCCAUGCUAACUGCUAAGUGCUAGGCUAGCGGACAGAGAUAACAGAUUAACUUAGAAUUAAGUACUGAGAAGGUGCUUGAAGAAAAUGAGUGUAUGUUACAAUUCAAAUAUUACCGCUACACACAGAUUUAAUGAAUAUCAAAUUAGAUGGAAUGGAUAAGCUACAACAGUCACAGAACACAACACAGUGCUACAACAGGAAGUGAUGCAAUACGCUCACCGUAACGUCAGACGUCAUCAAGAACAUCCACAUCUCCUUCUGGAGUUUGACCUUGGAGGUCCUCAUGUACCACUGCUACCUCAGCACAUUCUCCUGGUACUCUUGAGUCCUCAUCAUCUCUGCUCUGUGAGCAUGGCACAGCUUCCCUUUGUGCUUUAGCACAAUGCGACAAGUGAUACCACGUCGGGGACCCGUUAACCUGUACCGCAGUUCCAGUGCUGCGAAAAACUUCAAAUGGUCCCUCACAGCGUUCGUUAAACCACUUCCUUCUAAACACCUUCACAAAUACCUUGUCUCCAGGCUGCACCACGUUCUUCUUUUGCUCAUCGAGCCUCUCUUGCGCCUCCUCCUGUUUUUGCCUGUCAGAAACAUACGUGAAUAUUCGCUUAUGCAAAGCAGCCAUGUACUUAAUGUACACUCGCAUUUCAUCUUCCAAAUGUGCCAAACUUGGACCCUUUCCACUUGUGUGCAAACAAGGUGUUGGCAUCCGUCUUCCUGUAGCCAACUCAUGAGGUGUCAUACGCAAAUCACGGAGCUCGCUCGAACGACACACCAUUAAUGCUAAUGGAAGCGCCGCUACCCAGUUCAAACCUGUGUAUUGGCAGAUUUUAACAAUGCAAUUUUUCAAUACACCAUUAAUUUUUUCACAAAUACCUCGGCUUUGUGAAUGAUAAACCCCACCCAGACAUUGUUUAAUUCCCAGUUUUUGUAGGAUUAGUCUUACCAUUUUAUCCACAAACUCCUUCCCAUUGUCUGAGGAUAUUCGAUCUGGAAGUCCCCACCUACUUAUGACCUCACGGCACAAGAACUUAGCAACAGACUGAGCAUCCUUUCACUUGGUUGGACACGCCUCAGGCCAAUGCGAAGACCUGUCAACCACGACUAGCAUGUACCUCUUUCCUCCUACCGGUUUUACCAUGUCAACAAAGUCCACAACUAGCUCACGCAUUGGGCCCUUUGGAGUUGGAAUGUGGCCAGGAGGAACCAUCACUCCCCUCCUAACAUUAUGUUUUAGACAAAUAGUACAUCUGCCUAUGACAUAAUCAAUCUGCUCAAGCAAGUAUGGUGCCCAAAAACCAUACUCUUUUGUGAUCUUUCUCCUAACUUCCCCCCUUACAACAUGAGCUGGUCCAUGUGCUUCAUGAAUCAUCAGACCCAGCAGAUCUGGGGGUGCCACCAUCCACCCCACAUAAUUCGUCCACAGACCAGUAGAAUCCUGGGUGGCACCUCGGUCCAGCCAGAGUUGUUUGUCCAUGGCAGAUGCGGCUUCUUGCUUCAAGAUCACAUCUCUGAGCGUAAUAUUAACCUCCAAGUCCACUUCAUGGGAAACUAGAACUACUCUGCCAAUUUUGUCUGCUCCUGUAACUGCUUUGGCUGCUUCAUCAGCUGCUUUGUUACCUUUUGUGACCCUUGAAACAUCACUUUUAUGUGCUGCACACUUAGCUAUUGCUAUCUCCUUAGGCCUCAUCAUUGCAUGCAGCAACUUCAUAAUCUGAGCGUGAUGUUGUAUCGGAGAACCAUCCAUCUUCUUGAAUCCUCGAUUCUUCCACACUGCACCAAACAAGUGACACACAUUAUGAGCAUACGCCGAAUCUGUGUAUAUCGUCACCUGCUUGUCUUCUGCCAACAGACAUGCUUCAGUCAGCCCCACAAGUUCAGCCAACUGUGCAGAGGCAGGUUGUGUUAUUACCUCCACUUUCUCAACAACAAAUCCAUUCCCCUGAAAUUUCACUACUGCAUAACCAGCACACAAUUUGUCUCCUAUUUGAUAACAGGAUCCAUCAGUCCAGUACUCCAAGUCUGGCUCAUACAACGGAAGAGCUUGCAAAUCUGACCUGAGCCUUGAGUAGUUCUCUGCUUCCUGAACACAAUCAUGUGGUUCCCCAUCCUCUGGAGUUGGCAAAUUCUCAGCUGGGUUUAUCGUAGUACACCUCACCAGGGUGACAUCUUCCUGCUCUAAGAGUCUAUAAUAGUCUCUGAGCCUUGGCAUAGUCAAUGUAUAUUUAGCAUAAUUCAGAAGAUUUCUGAGACUAUGGUGAGUGAGAAUUAUUACUGGGUAUCCCAUAGUCACAGAUGAUGCCUUGUCAUACAUCAGAUAAACUCCCACCAUUGCUCUAUAGCACAGCGACAACCCCAAUUCUACUUCUGAAUAGGCAGUAGAAUAAUAGAAAACAGGCUGAGGACUCGCCUCAGUACCUGUUGGUUGACACAAAACUGCACACGCAUAUCUACCUCCAACAGAAGUAGACACAUACAGCAAAAAGUUCUUAGAGUAAUCUGGCAGCUCUAGCGGUGGAGCUUCUUGUAAUCUCUGUUUGAUCGUCUCAAAUGCCAGAAGGCCUUCUUGUGUCCAUGUCAGAUUGCAAUGAAGUUGAGCAUUCCCAGUAUGCCCCUCAAAGGUCCUGUCAAACUGGCAUAAUCCUCUACCCAUGCUGAAGAAUACCCAGCAAUGCCAAGAAACGUCAUCAUCUCUCUAACAGUUCUCAGUUUUGGAGCCUUCCGAAUAGCCUCCAAAUGACUGUCAGAAAUACUUCUGUGUCCUUGGGUUAUUGUCUGACCCAGAUAAACCACCUUCUCCUGGCAAUACUGCAGUUUCUUCUGAGAGGCUUUGUGUCCUCUCUCGGCCAAUAUUUGCAACAGCUUAAUCGAAUCCUCAUGGCAAGGUUCUUUUGUUGAUGAACAGAUGAUAAUGUCAUCAACAUACUAGACAACAGUGCUAUUCAAAACUUGAUCUAUUCCUGCCAAGUCAUCUUUCAACACUUUGUUGAAAAUGUGAGGACUAUGUUUAAAUCCUUGUGGGAGUCUCUUGUACUUAUAGAACUGUCCAUUGUAAGUAAAUCCAAAUAAGCCUCGGCUUUCUACACUGAGUGGAACACUGAAGAACGCUCUACACAGAUCCAACACUGUAAAAUAUGAAGCCUCUGGAGGAAUUUGAGCUAGCAAAGUAUGAGGAUCCGGCACAUCAGCUGGAUAAUCAGCAACCACUUCAUUCACUGCUCUCAAAUCAUGUACCAUACGAUAAGACUCAUCCGGCUUCUUCACUGGCAACAACAGUGUGUUGCUCUGUGGAUUCAAAGUUAUUUCCAAUACAUCUGCUUGCAGCAAACCUUCAAUCUGUGGUCCAAUCCCUUGAAUUGCUUCCUCCUUUAAGGGAUAUUGGUUCUUCCAAGGAGGUUUGGUUCCUGGUCUAAGUUCAACUUUCACCGGUUGAGCUGACUUCAGAAGUCCAAUAUCUGUAUUAUGUCGUGACCACAAAUAUUCUGGAACUUGUUGCAGCAUCUCCUCUCUCAUGCAGUCUGAGUCUAAUUUAGCACUGAAAAUUGACUCGUGUCAUCCAUGCAGGUUGUGGAUGUCCUUGACCUUGAGCCAAAAUCAUAAUUUUUAGGAAGCGCUGAUCUUCACUUUUCCAAAUGGCAAGAUUGUCCUCUAAUGGAGUAAAAGUAGCCAUCUCAGUUUCUGCCAUCAUUGCUCCUAUAUGUUUCUGCUCAUAUCCGUCAGCCACCAUCAAAGUCACAUGUGGGACACUCUUCUCAACGUCAUACUCCCCAUCAAGAUAAUCAUUUCUGUUUAUCUUCAUAGCUGCUCCCUGUGGUCCCAGAAUCACACAACAUGAACUGAGCUGAACUUGGCUUGGUUGAUGACUCAACCACUCUGUUGGAUUGGAUUGAAUAGCAUCCUUAAAAUACUUAAGCGUACAAUGAGGUGGAUACUCAGGAAGCUUAGCACCAGGCAUGUUAGCUGCAAUGAAUUUCUCCCACACCUUAACCGGCUCCAAUAGAUCCGGACUCAGGUUUCCAAUCUAAAACACCACAGCCUCAGUCUCUGUUUUCAUAAACAGUUGGUGUCUAACAUCAGUUGGCACUUCCACCAGACAGCCGUCCGGUGUACAUGGUAUUGUACAAUUCAAUUUGCACAAAGCAUCUCUACCCAAAACUGCAAUGGGUGUGUGCUCAGACACCAAUAUAGGUAUUUUAGUCUUUAGAUUUUUGUAGCAGAACUCAAUUAGUUUUGUGAGAGGAAACAGCUGUUUCACACCCUCAAACCCAAUUGUCCAUACCAAUUGGCCAGACAUGGGGAGGUGUAUAGCAUCUUCAGGCCGAAUGCAGGUAAAAGCAGCUCCGCUAUCCACCAUCAUUUCUAAUGGUUGAUUAUUUACUUUUACCUCUAUCGUUGGAUCUUGCUCCGGCCCUGACACUACCAGCUGACACCCCCCUUUCAGGUUUUCUGGGCACCCCUAAAACCCUGGCUCCAGAUCCCUAUAAGGGUUCACCGGUCCCCUGGGCGUGAUAGUCCUCUGAAACCUCCUCUAAAACCGCCUCUAAGUCCUCCUCUGAAGCCUCCUCUGAACAUGUUACAUUCACGAGCAUACUGGCCCACUUGUCCGUAAUUAUAACAGACCUCUGGAGGCUGUUGGAAAUUCGGGUUGAGAUUUCCUCCUCUACUUCUUCCAAAAUUUCCUCGUCCUCUUCCUCUCCAGUUCUGCAAUCUACCAAAGGCUGGCUGUGGGAAGGAAACAGUGGGGACCACAAACGAUGGUUGAGAUGGUUGAAGCUGGACCUGUCCUGGCUGUGGCUGUCGUGGUGGCUGAUUUGGUGGAUUUGGUUGAUUUUGCAUAACCAAAGCCUGCUUCUUCUCCUUCCGCCUACUAUCUGCUAACUGUAUUUGAUUAAGUUUUCUGAGAGUUUCUUGGUCCUGUUCUCUCUGUUGGUGCUCCUUUUUACGGUGUAGCUCCACUAAAUGAGCUACAUGAUUAGUUUAGUCAGCUCUUGUCAUGCUCCCCAGAGUAAUCACCUCUGCCAAUUUGCUCCCCACUGGUAGGGGCAACCCUUUCUGUGUUUUGUCUUGCACAAUUGACUGCUCCAUUUGAUUCAAAUCUGGAUCAUUUCCUGUGACAUUUCUCCAUGUCUGAUGAGCCCUUGCCACAUAGGCCCACGGAUUCUCCUCUGGUCCCAGUGGCUCUAUCAAAAUAUUAUCCGGAUGUAUGAUUGUUGGGAACGUAUCUCUCAACGCUCUCCACAUCCGACCUCGACUGGCAGCAAAGAGUUCUUGGUCAUUUACUGCCGUUGCCACAUAUCUAUUGAGACCCGCUUGUUGUAGGAUCUUCUCCAUCACAGGAACUCCCAGGAGACUAGCUAAAAGUCACUUAAUCUCUCCCAUGGCAGGCUGUGUUCCCACCAGGACCUCCUCUAGCUUCGAAAUCCAAGGAUAUGCCCCAUCUUGAAGAGUCUGCAUCUUUUCAAUUAUGUCCGACAUAUCAGUGUUCUGCCAAGGCUUGUAUUCCAGAUUCUGACCUCUGACAACCACUGGACACAUCUUAUCCGGCAUCUUUAAUUUUCUUGAGCGUAAGCCAUAUCCGGAAGCCUCUGACUUUGGAGACUUCUUUUUGUUUAGGCUCUUCUCCGUCAUCCGCGGCUCCUGUAGGUACUUCUCAAGUGCUCCUCGGUUUUCUGGAGAAGUAGCUUUUUCCAUAUCCACAAGACAUUUAUCUAUGGUUCUCUCAACCUCUCUUAAAACCUGCUGUCUCUCACUCCCUACUCUACUACUGAAUACUAAUGGGGAAGAAUAUGAAGGACCCUCACUCUCUGAGUCUUCAUGUCAAGCCUGCCUCGGCAGGCUCCGGCUAGGGCUCCUCCCUCCUCUUGUUCAUUUUCCUUUUUAGGUGUUGUGUGCGGUGGCAGCGGCAGCAGGUGCGAGCAAUCUGGGGCAUCUGCAGAAGCAGGGACAGGUGUGCCAGGACCAAUCUGUCAUCUACCUCUACACCAUUUAUUCAGAUUCCAGUCAUCAGUUCGACGCCGGUUCAUGAAUGCUCACAUGCGGACCCCACCUGCUCUGCUGACUGAGCCAUCUUGCCCAACUGGACUCAUCAAAGCCUCUGAGUUCCAAGCUGACUUCUGGAUCAACUCCGUCACUCUUCAGUCCUCCGUCCAAAUCUCCAUCUGCUGUCGCUGCCGAGACCACCAGCUCCUGCCCCCAGCACCAUUAGCACCCAAGCCGACAGUACGGCCUCAACACGAGCAAUUUCUAGAUUUUUAGAGUUAUGUUUGUCAUAGGUACCUGUUAGUUGAUUCACCCGGUAUUCUUGUUAGUAGAUCUGGUUUAUAGUUCAAUGAUUACGAACUUCGUUUCCAGUGAGCUACAUUGUUUCAUAGCCUCGGGUUCUACCUUAGUUUUAGUAUAGCUUAGUGGCUUUUUAGUUGUAGUUCAUCCUCUGUAUGUAGUGAUCAUAGUUGUGCCUCGCUUCAAGUUAUCCUUAGUUUUUGUGUGCUUAGGUGCUCAACUAAUCUUCAGCAUUAGCUAUUAUAGUUCUUAACUCUCCUGCCCAGGUUGUGCCUGCCGUGGGUCAGUUCUUUGUGUUGUCGAGAUUUGUAGUUCGUACCGCCCGCCAUUAGGGGCACUCUAGCUCUAAAGUUGAGUUACUGUAUCUGUUUCCUUUUCUGGAUACUAGACCUUAAGGAAUUGUAGUCCCAGUCACCUUUUGUUGUUAUAAUAAAUCAUCGUGUUAGCACCUGUUUGUCUCCUUCUCUUUUCCUGCGCCUGAGCCUCAAAGAAAACCUUAACACUUCAUCACUCUCUCCAUCCUCACUCUCAUCAGUCUCAUCCUUUUCUGGGUCCCUUUCCUUCACUGACCUAUCUCCCCUUUUCUCUGCUUUGGCCAAAACCCGUCUAAGUACUAGAUCAUAUCCACCCACAGCCUCAUCUGACUCCUGACUAUCCUCUCCUAUUUCCAGCCUCCUAUAUCUCUGUCCACCCCGAGUAUCCAGAUGGGUCUUCUAUAUUUUGCUUUCGGAACUUGGAUACAUCUUUAUGGUUGUUUUAGCCAUGCCCAUCUCUAUUAUUCGGUCAUCCUCGUCCUUAAUGUGAUAGUCACCCUCCUGUUUGAUCACUGGGAGCUGAGGAUAGACAUCAGCAAACUUGACCUGCUCCUCAUAAGGUGGGGGAUUCUUUAUUGGCGCUGUAUGUGAGAAAGGUGCAUUAACCUUCUCCAUCAGCUUUUCUGUCUCCUUGACAUUUUUUGCAAUCUCUUCUGCUGUCCACACCCUCCGGUCUUUUGCAGCCUCUAACAGUUUUUGUCCUUCAUUUUCGAACAACUUCAUGAUACCCAGCUCCAUCUGUCUCUUCUCAGUGCGCCUCUGUCCUUUCUUCCCUUUCUUUUGGCCGGCCUUAUGAGUGGAUACCGGCACCUGCAUCGUUUUGAUCACAUCAGGAUUGAGAGUCCCCUCUACUGGCCAAGGUUGCUCGAUACCAGGCGACCGCUUGUUCCAUUUCUGCGACAUUUUUGCAAUGCUUUUAACGAGAGGAUUGUUCUUUUGUACAGCAUCAACAGGAGUGAUCACUUUAAAAGCUUUAACGUCCAUCUUUGACAUUAUAACACCUGCCUUGUGUCCUUGUAUUUCAAAUCAAAAUGAAUGAAGAUAAAUGGAAUACAGAGCUAUAUAUAAAGCACUGUAUUACUACAACCAAUCAAAAGAAAUGAAAUAAAUUUGCCAGCCUCAGAGGAAAACACAAAUUUAUCAAUAAAAACCAAACCACGUGAUUAUCACCCAAUUCUCCAAUUGUCCAAAAAUUACAAUAUCCAAUCCCAAAACAACUCAAAUGAAACCAAAACCAUACACAGCUAAUGAAACCACCAUCAAUGAAUCUCUACAAUAUUGAAACCAAAAUAAUCAAUCCAAAAAUAGUUAAUUAGCUCAAUAGUGAUACAUUAAUCAAUUGAAUGCCACAGAUGGUCAGUCCGUUGCCAAGCUUCCUCCCAUAUAAUUACAACAUGUGAUAUUCCAGGUGUGUGUGUGACCAAAGGUGCCUUAUUGACCCCAGACUAAGAGAUUAUCUUAGUCAAACUAUAAAAGAAACACCAUAGACCUAUAUGUGAAAACCAGAUGAGUAUGUAAUAAGUAGGUUUGUGCACACAUAAGCAAUUGCAAAUACACAUUAAAAAGAGUUUGUGGAUAAAAUCGCAUUAGCCUUGAUGAUGUUGGAUGCAGGAGCCACACGUGUUGUCAUCCGCAAAGCCUCAGUUCGUGUAGAGCACAAUCAGCUGUCCUUUGGAGGAUCGGAAUUCAGACGCAUUCCAUCGUCUCUUCCCCAACUCUCAUUCAUCACAAUCAAAUAAAAGAAAGAAAAACAGAACAAAGGUUUGAUGUCCUAUAUUCACUUUAAAUCAAUACAAUAAACAAUUCAAUAAAAUUUGUUCACAUUAUUCACCAACAUUGAUAUUAUUUUAAUCUAUCAUAAUGGGUAUUUUUCCCUACAAAGUCUCUCUAUAAACAAUUAAUAGGCACAAACCUAUCAUAUCUAUGAUAUUGUUCUACAAACAAAUCCCUUACUUUUACUUAUAUUCAUUCUAAAUGUAUCAUAAUUGUAUUUAUAUUAUGUAUUAUCAAUUUAAAAAUCAAACGAGUGAGUAUUUAAAUGUCUUCUAAUCACACCAUAAGUUUUCAAACACAGAUCUGCGACCGCUACAAUAGUAUUACUCAUGCACAGAGAAAAACAAAUAUGUUCCACCAGAGUAGUUUACAGCAGAUAUACAUGAAAGGGAACCCCAAAAAAGCCAAAAUGCUUAUAAUUAAAGGACCCACUAAAAGACAAGUCCACAUCAAAAUACAUUCACACACACGCAGAAAGAAAGAAAAAGAAAAAAGAAAAGAGAGAGCGAGAUUACGCACCACGCAAUCAACCAAUCAAUCCACCAGUGCCAUCCGUAAAAUCAAAAUGUACCAUCUGACCCUAAAAAACUUUAUUGGAGUUUUCUUUCCCUGUGUGUUUUUCCCUCUAAAAUAUUUAGUUUAUGCUUAUGCAAACAGAAUGUCCUCGCUGGUCUUCUCGGACUCAGCAAGUCUCAUAUGUUUUAUCAAAUAUAUAAACGUCCACCAUGAGGCUCAUAUACAUUAUCAAUUCACAAUAGUCCUUUAUAAGGCUCACUUAUUUUAUUAUAUUAUCAAUGUUACAGAAAGUCCUCAAUGGGGCUCAUAUGUUUUAACAAACAAAAGGGCUUGUAAAUUUUUAACACGUAAGUGUUACAGUCCCGCCCUGGCUCCCUGUCUGUCAUUUUCUCUGCUCCCCUUCUUUCUCUCUCCCUUUUCUCCUCACCUCUUCCUUGCUCUUCCUCUCCUGCCUCCUGUUCUCGCUCGUGGUCCCACGCUCUUCUGUGCUGCGCCUCUGGCUGUGCUGCGCCGGUCAUCAGGGCUCAUGGGCUCCAGCUGCAGAUGGAGCGCAGCUGGAUCGGAUCAGCCAUCAGCCGGGGAUAAAGCCUGGCUCACCCUUCACCUCCCUGCCAGAUCGUAGCGUCAGAUACACAUCGUCCUCUCCACCGGAUCGACCGGUCCACAGCCAGCCUGUCUACCUGCCCCACCUGUCACCUUGCCUGCCUUGCCUUCGGUGCCUUACCGGUGUUGUAGUUUCUCUGAUGUCCGUGAUGUGCAGGUGAAGAAGAAACGCCCGUUGACACUGUUACUUAAUAUAAUAUGAUUUUAUUAUAUAAAGACAGCAUCUGUCCAGCACCAUGGAGACUUCAGAGCCAAUGUGAAAAUCCCGCAGAACAAGGGCCAGCAAUCAGUUUUUAUAGGUUUCGGACAUGUAGGGAGUCACAACAUAUGGUUCUCUGGUACAUACCAUAUAGGGAAGCAGGGAGCAUCUUCAACCAACCCCCCUAGACUCUACAGCUCCUAAAGAGCUGCAUCCAUAACUUUGGACAUAUGCAUCCUUAUAAGGGUGCAUUCAGCAGAAGAACACAUUCCAUUGCGACGACCCACACAUCCCAAGUUCCAUAUGAUAAGCAACAAGUAUCAGACCAGAUACUACACCGGCUUUUCUCCGCGGCACGUCCAGUUGCUGCCAUUCUCCACGGCACAUCCAGUCACUGCCGUUCUCCACGGCAUGUUCAGCUGCCGCCGCUCACCGCAGCACAUCCAACCGCCACCGAUCUCCGCAGCACAACCAGGUGCGCCGGUGUGCGUCCCCAGGACAGCCGGUUUCCUGAGCCGGCCAGCUCCAUUCUCUCCCUCAGUUAGCUCCUAGCUCUGUGAAUAGUGUCUAGACUCUGUUUGUCUUGGGAGUCUGCCCGUCUUUAUUCAC